UACGGAGGGGGCUAGCGUUGUUCGGAAUUACUGGGCGUAAAGCGCACGUAGGCGGCUUGAAAAGUUGGGGGUGAAAGCCCGGAGCUCAACUCCGGAAUUGCCUUCAAAACUCCCAGCCUAGAGUUCGAGAGAGGUGAGUGGAAUUCCGAGUGUAGAGGUGAAAUUCGUAGAUAUUCGGAGGAACACCAGUGGCGAAGGCGGCUCACUGGCUCGACACUGACGCUGAGGUGCGAAAGCGUGGGGAGCAAACAGGAUUAGAUACCCUAGUAGU
rnacentral:rRNA from 1 species